UAGGGAAUCUUCUGCAAUGGACGAAAGUCUGACCGAGCAACGCCGCGUGAGUGAAGAAGGUUUUCGGAUCGUAAAACUCUGUUGUUAGAGAAGAACAAGGACGUUAGUAACUGAACGUCCCCUGACGGUAUCUAACCAGAAAGCCACGGCUAACUACGUGCCAGCAGCCGCGGUAAUACGUAGGUGGCAAGCGUUGUACGGAUUUAUUGGGCGUAAAGCGAGCGCAGGCGGUUUCUUAAGUCUGAUGUGAAAGCCCCCGACUCAACCGGGGAGGGUCAUUGGAAACUGGGGGACUUGAGUGCAGAAGAGGAGAGUGGAAUUCCAUGUGUAGCGGUGAAAUGCGUAGAUAUAUGGAGGAACACCAGUGGCGAAGGCGGCUCUCUGGUCUGUAACUGACGCUGAGGCUCGAAAGCGUGGGGAGCAAACAGG
rnacentral:rRNA from 1 species